rnacentral:tRNA from 1 species
GCCGGAGUAGCUCAGUGGUAGAGCAAUGCUUUCGUAAAGCAGAGGUCGAGGGUUCAAGUCCCUCCUCCGGCU